rnacentral:rRNA from 1 species
AGAGAGAGACAUGCGCGCAUAUCAAUAAGCGGAGGAAAAGAAACUAACAAGGAUUCCCCUAGUAACGGCGAGUGAAGCGGGAAGAGCUCAAAUUUGAAAUCUUAAAGGGUUUCCCUUUACGAAUUGUAGUUUAAAGAAGUGUUUUCUGUUGAGGUUUUGGUAAAAGUUCUUUGGAAUAGGACAUCAUAGAGGGUGAGAAUCCCGUAUUUGACCUUUACUUUCAACCUUGUGAUACACUUUCAAAGAGUCGGAUUGUUUGGGAAUGCAGUCCAAAAUGGGUGGUAAAUUUCAUCUAAAGCUAAAUAUUGGCGAGAGACCGAUAGCGAACAAGUACCGUGAGGGAAAGAUGAAAAGAACUUUGAAAAGAGAGUUAAACAGUACGCGAAAUUGUCAAAAGGGAAGCGUUUGACACCAGUGUUGUUUUUCUGAAAAUCAAUUAAAGAACUGUUUAUGCUAAGUUGUUUAGACUUUAUCAGCUAUCUGUUUAGUUUUGAGCUUUUCUUUAAUGCACUUUUCAGUUAACAAGUCAACAUCAAUUUCUUUUGCUGUAAAAAAGCUUGAGGAAGGUGGCUUGAGAUUCGUCUUAAGUGUUUAUAGCCUCUUGCCUAUGCAGUCGGAGAGAUUGAGGUCUGCAGCGUAGAUCCUUCGGGGCUAAAUGCAUUUGUGCUAAGUUAUAGGCAUUUUAUAGACAACUUGUUGACUAUGAUUUGUCUUGUAGCUUACUCGCUUAUGUUAUUUUACCUACGCUUAGGAUGUUGAGCGCAUGUCUCUCUCU